AAACAGAAUAUAUUGUCUUCACAAAUUUAUUUAGUUUAUCACAUAAGAAAAUAAGACAAAGAAACAACUUCUCACACUGUCUCUCAAUGGCACACAAGGUGAAUGUGUUAAGUUUUUUUUGGCAGAACAUUAAAAUAAUCAUACGCUAGAUUAAAUGAACUAUGCAUUGUGACUUUCAAUACUAAUGAAUGCAUAUCACCUAUGACAAUGACAGAAAUAUAGAACAGCGAUUGUUAAAUAGUAUGUUCCUAUAACACAAGAAUAAGCUUGAUUUGCAUAGCUUAAAGGUGUCAAAUAAAACCUGCUAAAAUGGCUACAUUGUUUUCUAGAAACUAUAUGUCGCUACCUCAGUAGAAAAGAACAGUAAAAGCAAUAAACUUUAUGAAAAGCUUUUGAAGCCUCCUGCCAAUAUCAAAUGAGAACUUCAUCACAGGUGACUCAUUCAUUCUCACUUUCAUAUGUUGGACACCGUUAAGGCUACGUUUCACAGAAUACACAAAAACAGUUUGCAGUUUACAUUGAAAAAGUCAACAAAUGAACAGGUAAACCAGUAGCUCUGUGGAUAGGUCCAUUCUUGUAGCGUUAUCAGUAGUUUUAAGGCUUAGAAUGGAUCCCAAAAACCUCCACAGAUUUCACAAACUAACCUCUAAGAAAACAAAGCAGCAACAUCUGAAAAAAUCUCAAAACAACGCAUCACAUUUACAGAAAAUUGUCUUAACACAUUUUGGCAUUUAAAUAGUUGUGUAGUUUUCAUUACAAUUCCUCUUGACUGAUUUGUGUCGUGUUAAAGUACAUUCCCAUUUUGUGAUGGAUCAAUGGAAGACCUGUGAGCCAUUACUUUUUACCCUCAUGUGUAAAACAAGAGCAAACAAAAGAUAUUCAAGGCUUAACCAAACUCACAAGGGAAUAGUGGUCUAAUGUUAUGGUGUCAAGAGACUUGUGCAAGGUGUACAAGCAUCUUCAAGCUUUCAUUCAUGCCCAUGACCAUGAGCUUUAGGUUAAACAGGCCUCUAGCGCCCCCAGUCAGUCUGAAAAGUAACAACUCGAACCAGCGAGUUUGUCCAUCUCCUGCCACCCCAGAACAUGUGAGUGGAACACAGGUGGCUGCGCGUGUGCAUUUACA
ensembl:lncRNA